rnacentral:rRNA from 1 species
AAUGGGCGAAAGCCUGACGGAGCAAUACCGCGUGAGGGACGAAGGUCUGUGGAUUGUAAACCUCUUUUGUUGGGGAAGAUAAUGACGGUACCCAACGAAUAAGCAUCGGCUAACUCCGUGCCAGCAGCCGCGGUAAGACGGAGGAUGCAAGCGUUAUCCGGAAUUAUUGGGCGUAAAGCGUACGUAGGCUGUUUCAUAAGUCUGUUGUCAAAGCGCGAGGCUCAACCUUGUAAAGGCAAUGGAAACUGCGAGACUAGAGAGAGAUAGGGGCAGGAGGAAUUCCAGGUGUAGCGGUGAAAUGCGUAGAUAUCUGGAAGAACACCAGUGGCGAAAGCGUCCUGCUGGAUCUCAACUGACGCUGAAGUACGAAAGCUAGGGGAGCGAAUGGGAUUAGAUACCCC